rnacentral:rRNA from 1 species
GAUGAACGCUGGCGGCGUGCCUAAUACAUGCAAGUCGAGCGAACAGACGAGGAGCUUGCUCCUCUGACGUUAGCGGCGGACGGGUGAGUAACACGUGGAUAACCUACCUAUAAGACUGGGAUAUCUUCGGGAAACCGGAGCUAAUACCGGAUAAUAUAUUGAACCGCAUGGUUCAAUAGUGAAAGACGGUUUUGCUGUCACUUAUAGAUGGAUCCGCGCCGCAUUAGCUAGUUGGUAAGGUAACGGCUUACCAAGGCGACGAUGCGUAGCCGACCUGAGAGGGUGAUCGGCCACACUGGAACUGAGACACGGUCCAGACUCCUACGGGAGGCAGCAGUAGGGAAUCUUCCGCAAUGGGCGAAAGCUUGACGGAGCAACGCCGCGUGAGUGAUGAAGGUCUUCGGAUCGUAAAACUCUGUUAUUAGGGAAGAACAAAUGUGUAAGUAACUAUGCACGUCUUGACGGUACCUAAUCAGAAAGCCACGGCUAACUACGUG